rnacentral:lncRNA from 1 species
UUGACAAUUAGUCUGGCGCUUUGUCAGUUUAUGGCUUGUAAAUGAGAGUCAUUAUGGCGGAAUGCUCUCUAAUAUCCUCAUGCUGUCUGAACUCUGCAGCCUAAAGGGUGGCCAACAUUGACUUCCUGGGCAUCAAUACCCACUGAUCCUAUUGAAAGCGCAAGGCUGAGGCUCUUUAUAUGCCAGGCACCUGCAGCCACACAACCAUAAAAUUGGUAUAUUUAAGAGGCAGAUUAAAAGUUGAUAUUCUGACUUUUAAAAUGCCACAAAUUCACUGGCCUCCUAAUCCCCCUCUUGUUAUGUGUGACAUUUCAUUAUUUGGUAUCCUGAUGGUUUCCUCGGCCUCUGAUUCAGAAUGCGCAGAGCAGGGGUCAGAGCAGAGGAUACUGGUCUCUCAAAGGCUCCAGGACAAACUAACUUUUCCUGGCGUCCUUCCACUACAGCUUUUUGAUGCCACUGUAUUUGAAACGGAUGCUGCGAUCGAUGCCCAAAGCAUUUGAAUUCUGCAUCAGCAGCUAUCUGUCAUGCUGUAAUAAAUGCACUGUUGAUAUUCUUCAGUUUGAUACUUUUCUCUAUGCGUUAGUCCUUUAGAGGCACAGAUAACUGAUUGCUUUUUUGGUUAUCAUUUUAAGUGCCUCAAACUUGAAUUACUUUCAGAUCUGAUGGCAUGAAGCUUGCAAAUGCAUUAAAAAUCAAAGACUAGAUCUUCUGAAGUGUUGUUCUAGCAGCCUGGGAAUAUGUAAACAGUAUGUUAUAUGUUUAUCAGUUGGACUGAUAAAAACCAAUGCAC